rnacentral:misc_RNA from 1 species
UUUCCGUAGGUGAACCUGCGGAAGGAUCAUUAAAGAGUAAGGGUCUUCGGGCCCGAUCUCCAACCCUUUGUUUAACUACCAUGUUGCUUUGGCGGGCCCGUCUCACGGCCGCCGGAAGUUUGGCUUCGACCAAACUUCUGGCCCGUGCCCGUCAGUGGCCCCUUCAAAUUCUUGAUCAAGUAUGAUGUCUUAGUUAAAAACUUAAUAGUUAAAACUUUCAACAACGGAUCUCUUGGUUCUG